GCCUACGGGGCGCAGCAGUGGGGAAUAUUGCACAAUGGGGGGAACCCUGAUGCAGCGACGCCGCGUGGGUGAAGGAGUAUUUCGGUAUGUAAAGCCCUAUCAGCAGGGAAGAACAAUGACGGUACCUGACUAAGAAGCACCGGCUAAAUACGUGCCAGCAGCCGCGGUAAUACGUAUGGUGCAAGCGUUAUCCGGAUUUACUGGGUGUAAAGGGAGCGCAGGCGGCGCGUUAAGCCUGAUGUGAAAGGCCAGGGCUCAACCCUGGGACUGCAUUGGAAACUGUAAAGCUAGAGUGCCGGAGAGGG
rnacentral:rRNA from 1 species